rnacentral:rRNA from 1 species
AUGAAGACCUCCAAGAAAUGUCGGGCCUUCGUAUCUGUGUCACGAAAUCCAGACAUGAUGAAUAUCUUGAGAAUUAUUCAUAGUCGAGUUAGUGGUCUACGUUUUGAGGACACUGAUGCAGGGAGCAUACAACAAGUCAUCAUCAAUAUCAGCAGUUUCCUAGUAGAAAAAAGGUAUUUUGUUGUCGUUGAUGAUAUAUGGGACGUGGAAACUUGGGAUGUUAUUAAGCGUGCAUUUCCCAUGACUAGUUGUCGUAGCAUCAUAAUCACCACUACACGUAUUCAUAGUGUUGCAAAAGCAUGCCGUUCAUCAACCAAUGAUGACAUCUAUAGGAUAAAGCCUCUUAAUUGGGUGCAUUCAAAAGAACUAUUUCAUAGAAGACUAUUUGAAUCCAAAGAAGAUCUCCCUGCAAACCUUGAAGACGUUUGUAAUGAAAUUUUGAAAAAGUGUGAUGGCUUACCCCUAGCAAUCAUUGCUAUAUCUGGCCUAUUGGCCAGCAGAGAGAGAACAAAGGAUGUGUGGAAUCACGUGAAAGAUUCAAUUGGUCGUGCACUUGAAAGGAAUCCCAAGGUCGAAGGAAUGAUGAAGAUAUUGUCACUUAGUUACUAUGAUCUUCCUCCUCAUCUAAAAAGUUGUCUCCUAUAUAUGAGUUUAUUUCCUGAAGAUUCUAUUAUUGAGAAGAAGGGUCUGAUAAGAAGAUGGAUUGCCGAAGGAUUUGUUUACAAAGAUUGCAUAUGUAAGGCAUUUGAAUUAGGAGAGAGGUAUUUUAAUGAGCUCGUCAAUAGGAGUUUGAUCCAACCUGUGAAGCUGGGAUUAUUUGGUCAGGUGCUUUCUUGUCGAGUUCAUGACACAAUUCUUGAUUUCAUAGUAUCCAAAUCCAUUGAAGAGAACUUUGUUACUUUCAUUGGUGUCCCAAGUUUAUCUAUUGGGACACAAGGAAGAGUCCGCCGCCUCUCCAUGCAAGUUGAAGGGGGAGGAAAUUAUGUCAUGCCAAUGACCCAGGAAUUAUCUCAUGUCCGAUCACUUAAUGUGUUUGGGAAUACAGUAAAAAUCCCUUCAAUGAUGGAGUUCAGGCAUUUGCGCAGUAUGGACUUUGGAGGAUGUAGUUCAUUAGGCAUUUUGGGAUGCAGACAACUAGAAAAACACCAUCUUACAAAUGUAGGAAGGCUGUUUCAGCUAAAGUACCUCAACAUUGCCAUGACAUUAGUAAGGCAGCUCCCUGAAGAAAUUGGACAUCUACAGUGCUUAGAGAUGUUGGACAUAAGGGAGUCAAGGAUAUACAAUUUACCGGCAGGUAUUGUCAAUCUUGGAAAACUGAAACACUUAAUAGUUGACUGUGGUGCUACGUUUCCCGAUGAAAUCGCUCAGAUGCAAUCAUUGGAAUUUUUAAAGUGUGUGUCUGUCCACUUCCAGUCCUAUAGAUUUCUGGAAGGGCUUGGGCAGCUAAAGAAUCUGAGGAAGCUGCAUCUUUUUUUUGGUGAUGUUGAGCAAGAUCAGCAAAUAGAAGUUACUUUUUCUUCUGUCCGUAGCCUAUUGGCACAUAACCUUAGUUCUGUAAGAAUGGAGUAUGUUGACGACGACACCUUAACGGGUACAGCAUGGUGCACUUCCCCACUGCAUAACCUCAAAAGACUUGUGGCUGAUUAUCCCUUCUCAAAGGUUCCGGAUUGGGUAAAAUCACUAGCCAACCUGCAGACGUUACUCUUGGUAGUGGAGAAAAUUGGGAAUGAAGGCCUCUGCAUCCUUGGAGCCUUACCCGCUCUGCUCACUCUGGAUCUCAAUGGAAAGGCAGAUCAGUCUCCUUUUGAAGAUCGAAGGCUAGCAGUCAAUGAUAAAGCUGGGUUCAAAUGCCUGAACAUGUUUAUUUAUCGCUCCCGGAGGGAUGGAAUGGGUCUCCUGUUUGCGGCAGGAUGUAUGCCCAAGCUAGAGAAAUUGGCGAUUUUGUUUUCCGACUGGUCUGAAAAUGAGUGUCUCUUCAGUACUCCUGGUGCUUUGGAUUUUGGAAUGGAAAAUCUCCCCAGGCUCGUUACUUUGGAAUGUCAAUUAGAGUUCAAGGGUAUGCAGAGCAGUGCUGUUCUGGCCGUAAAGGCAUCCCUGGAGAGAGCAGUCGGCGCACAUCCCAACAAACAGCUUACUCUAAUCUUCAAGAAGCACUAUGGUUGGCGUUGA